rnacentral:rRNA from 3 species
CCUUACCAGGACUUGACAUGUAAGGAACCCUGUAGAGAUACGGGGGUGCCCCUUUCGGGGAACCUUAACACAGGUGGUGCAUGGUUGUCGUCAGCUCGUGUCGUGAGAUGUUGGGUUAAGUCCCGCAACGAGCGCAACCCCUGUCGUUAGUUGCUACCAUUAAGUUGAGCACUCUAACGAGACUGCCGAGGUCAACUCGGAGGAAGGUGGGGAUGACGUCAAAUCAUCAUGCCCCUUAUGUCCUGGGCUACACACGUGCUACAAUGGCCGGUACAAAGAGAAGCAAUCCCGCGAGGGGGAGCAAAUCUUCAAAACCGGUCCCAGUUCGGAUUGUAGGCUGCAACUCGCCUACAUGAAGCCGGAGUUGCUAGUAAUCGCGAU